CAUGCAAGUCGAGCGAGAAGCUAACUUCGGUUAGUGGACAGCGGCGCACGGGUGAGUAACGCGUGGGAAUUUACCUUUCGGCGGGGGACAACAGUUGGAAACGACUGCUAAUACCGCAUACGCCCUACGGGGGAAAGAUUUAUCACCGAAAGAUAGGCCCGCGUUAGAUUAGGUAGUUGGUAGGGUCAAAGCCUACCAAGCCGACGAUCUAUAGCUGGUUUGAGAGAACGAUCAGCCACACUGGAACUGAGACACGGUCCAGACUCCUACGGGAGGCAGCAGUGGGGAAUCUUGCACAAUGGGCGAAAGCCUGAUGCAGCCAUGCCGCGUGAGUGAGAAGGCCUUCGGGUUGUAAAACUCUUUUAGAUGUGAAGAUGAUGACGGUAACAUCAGAAAAAGCACCGGCUAACUUCGUGCCAGCAGCCGCGGUAAUACGAAGGGUGCUAGCGUUGCUCGGAAUUACUGGGCGUAAAGAGCGUGUAGGCGGCUUAGCAAGUUAGAGGUGAAAUCCCAGGGCUCAACCCUGGAACUGCCUUUGAUACUGCUAGGCUUGAGAUCGUGAGGGGAUAGCGGAAUACCCAGUGUAGAGGUGAAAUUCGU
rnacentral:rRNA from 1 species